rnacentral:tRNA from 1 species
GCCGAAGUGGUGGAAUUGGUAGACACGCCAGGUUCAGGGUCUGGUGGGGGCAACUCCGUGGAGGUUCGAGUCCUCUCUUCGGCACCA